CUAUAACUGAUUUAAUGAGCCAUUCGCAGUUUCACAGCCUGAAUUCGUGCAUACUUACACAUGCAUGGCUUAAUCUUUGAGACAAGCAUAUGACUACUGGCAGGAUCAACCAGGUAGCAUUCAUAAAUCAGGGCAAGACCACGUCAUAUUCCCGCAAACAAAUGGAAAGUGGGAACAGAUGCAGACUUGACCGUCAUCUUUUGUCCGGAGACAAACGUGCUUAGCAGGACAGAAUUUUUUCGAGUCACCACCAUAAUAUUUUCGUAACCGAGAUCUCGGCAAACAGCUUAUUCACCUUUGCGAACAAUGCAUAAAUUAUGCAAAGACGCAAGGAUCACAAGGGCCGGCUUAUGUGUUCAUGAUUUCCCCACUAAAGGAGAUGCCGCAAACAACAUUUUAAGCAAAGCUUAACAAUUCCGUCCAGAUAGGUACGCAACACAGGCCCCGGAUCAGUUCAACAAGC